rnacentral:rRNA from 1 species
UACGGGGGGAGCAAGCGUUGUUCGGAUUUACUGGGCGUAAAGCGCACGUAGGCGGAUUUGUAAGUCAGGGGUGAAAUCCCGGGGCUCAACCUCGGAACUGCCUUUGAUACUGCAAAUCUCGAGUCCGAUAGAGGUGGGUGGAAUUCCUAGUGUAGAGGUGAAAUUCGUAGAUAUUAGGAAGAACACCGGUGGCGAAGGCGGCCCACUGGAUCGGUACUGACGCUGAGGUGCGAAAGCGUGGGGAGCAAACAGG